rnacentral:rRNA from 1 species
GAUGAACGCUGGCGGCGUGCUUAACACAUGCAAGUCGAACGGAAAGGCCCAAGCUUGCUUGGGUACUCGAGUGGCGAACGGGUGAGUAACACGUGGGUGAUCUGCCCUGCACUUCGGGAUAAGCCUGGGAAACUGGGUCUAAUACCGGAUAGGACCACUUCUUGGAUGUUGUGGUGGAAAGUUUUUUCGGUGUGGGAUGAGCUCGCGGCCUAUCAGCUUGUUGGUGGGGUAAUGGCCUACCAAGGCGUCGACGGGUAGCCGGCCUGAGAGGGUGUACGGCCACAUUGGGACUGAGAGACGGCCCAGACUCCGACGGGAGGCAGCAGUGGGGAAUAUUGCACAAUGGGCGCAAGCCGGAUGCAGCGACGCCGCGUGGGGGAGGACGGCCUUCGGGUUGUAAACUCCUUUCGCUAGGGACGAAGCGUUUUGUGACGGUACCUGGAGAAGAAGCACCGGCUAACUACGUG